CGAAUAAAGUGAAAAAUGUACUGAAUAUGUUACAAAAUAUGAAAUACAGACUCUGUGGAAUUAAUGUUUAACUAAUCUGAAUAAUUUAACAUAUUAAACUGAAUAAACUUUCAAGUUGUGCGAAUAAUAUGAGCAAUCUACUGAAAAAAACCGCCAGAGCUGACAAUCACUCACCUACGUCGCCAGAGCUGAAAAUGCACCCGGGCAGGGCUGAAAAGCCGUUGCUCUGCUCUACUCUGCUCUCCUCUACUAUACUCUGGCUGCCUUGACGAAUGAUUUCCAGCUCUGACGACUUGCGAGUGAUUGCCAGCUCUGACAGCUUGAGCUCUGCGCGAAGGAAUGUCAGCUCUGGCAGUUUUGUUAGCUCUGGCGAGUGAAUAUCAGCUUUGGCUGCAUUGUUAGCUCUGCCGUGUGAAUGACAGCUCUGGCU
rnacentral:lncRNA from 1 species